GAGCAAGCCAGCGUUCUUUGUUUUUUUCGUCUCGUCUCCCUCCCUUCGUCCGUGGAGCUUGGAGGAAGACAAGAAGACGAAGACACUGACGAGGCUUAUAAAUAAUAGGCGAGGGUGGUACGAAGAGCGAGCAAGCGUUGUUUCGUUUUUUUCAUCUCUUCUCCCUCCCUCCAUCUGUGGAGUGUGGAUGAAAACAAGAAGAUGAAGAAGUUGGGAUCUCAGGUUCUUGAUCUCUCCCUCUUAUCUAGUUUUACGAAUAUUUGUUUCCACUGAUUAUUAGCUUUCCGGAUUAGUGGUUCUCAUUUUGGUGAUCAUUGGAUCACCAAAAUCUCAGUGGCCUUGAUCCAAUGAUCAAGUCUUAUUCUAAAAGAAUUGUGCAUCCUCAAGAUCCCAUUCCAAAGUGUAGACGAAGUGAAGUUCUCUUAAAUCUCAUUGGCCUUGAUCUGUCCCUCUCCUUUAGGUUGACGAUCCGGGGUUCUUUCUUUCGAUGGAUCAUUAGAUCCUUAGAUAAAUAGUUCCGAGUUUGGCAAUCUUUGAUGACGAAUGGAUUUUUCGAUUCAUUUUCUAUCAGAACCCUUCUCCACGAGCGAUGGUGAGAUUUCAGGUUCUUUAGUCUCUCUAUUUUAAGUUUACAAGUUGUUUCUUAUAUGUUCGAGGGAUCAUUGAAUCUAUACAUUUACUGUUUUACUCAGUGAUUUUUUAUGGCAAAAUGAGUAAUCUAAUUUUCUCCAAUAAUCCUAUGCUUCGUGAUUCAAUUGUCAAUUGAGGAUUAUCUUAGUUAGGGAUGUCUCUCGUUUUGAUCUUUUACUUUUCGUAUUUUUCCUUUCGUGAUCAUUGGAUUCAAUUGUCGGUCGUUGUGAUUCAAUCGUCGAUUGAGGAAUCGUAAAUGUGGGGUUUGAUUCUUUUGAGGACAUAUUGCACUUCAAGAAAAUUAUCAGAUUAACCAACAGCAUUAGGAAUCCGACUGAAAAGAUGUUUAAAGACUUUUUUUCAUUUAAUAAAUCGUAUCCACAUUAACGUUCUAGUUGAAAUGGUGCAGGAGCAUUCUAAAUUGUAUUUAGAUGUUUCAAAUUGUUAUUUCAUGAAACAUGCUCGAUUCUUCCACUUGCAACACAUAUCACUAGCAUAGUUGGUCACUCCAUGUGAUGCAAAUUAGAUAGGACCACUGGAUAUAAAUGAAGCAGGGGAAGCCACCGGCUCUCGUGGAUGAGGCCUAUGAAUAACAAGCGAGGCGAUGUGUGGAGUAGACAAAAGCUCAUUUCCUUUUCCGUCUUCAGCUCCCUCCCUCCCUCCAUCUGUGGAGUGCGUACGAAGACUAGAAGACGAUGACGUUGGAAUCUCAAGUUCUUGAUAUCUCCCUUUCGUUUAAUCUUGCGGAUGUUUCUUUCCAUGGCUUAUAAGUUUCACAGUUAAAUGGUUCUCGUCUUGGUGAUCCAAUUAUCACGUCUUAUCAUAAACGAAUCAUACAUUUCCAAGAUUUCAUUUCAAAGUAUAGACAAAGAGAAGGUUUCUCUGA